rnacentral:sRNA from 1 species
GCUGGGUGCAGUGGCGCAUGCCUGUAAUCCCAGCUGCUUGGGAGGCUGAGGCAGGAUAAUGAGUUCAAAGCCAGCCUCAGCAACUUAGCAAGGUCUUAAGCAACUCACCAAGACCCUGUCUCUA